rnacentral:rRNA from 1 species
ACGCUGGCGGCGUGCCUAAUACAUGCAAGUAGAACGCUGAAGCUUGGUGCUUGCACCGAGCGGAUGAGUUGCGAACGGGUGAGUAACGCGUAGGUAACCUGCCUCUUAGCGGGGGAUAACUAUUGGAAACGAUAGCUAAUACCGCAUAAAAGUCGAUAUCGCAUGAUAUUGAUUUGAAAGGUACAAUUGCAUCACUAAGAGAUGGACCUGCGUUGUAUUAGCUAGUUGGUGAGGUAACGGCUCACCAAGGCGACGAUACAUAGCCGACCUGAGAGGGUGAUCGGCCACACUGGGACUGAGACACGGCCCAGACUCCUACGGGAGGCAGCAGUAGGGAAUCUUCGGCAAUGGGGGCAACCCUGACCGAGCAACGCCGCGUGAGUGAAGAAGGUUUUCGGAUCGUAAAGCUCUGUUGUAAGAGAAGAACGAGUGUGAGAGUGGAAAGUUCACACUGUGACGGUAACUUACCAGAAAGGGACGGCUAACUACGUGCCAGCAGCCGCGGUAAUACGUAGGUCCCGAGCGUUAUCCGGAUUUAUUGGGCGUAAAGCGAGCGCAGGCGGUUAGAUAAGUCUGAAGUUAAAGGCUGUGGCUUAACCAUAGUACGCUUUGGAAACUGUUUAACUUGAGUGCAGAAGGGGAGAGUGGAAUUCCAUGUGUAGCGGUGAAAUGCGUAGAUAUAUGGAGGAACACCGGUGGCGAAAGCGGCUCUCUGGUCUGUAACUGACGCUGAGGCUCGAAAGCGUGGGGAGCAAACAGGAUUAGAUACCCUGGUAGUCCACGCCGUAAACGAUGAGUGCUAGGUGUUGGGUCCUUUCCGGGACUCAGUGCCGCAGCUAACGCAUUAAGCACUCCGCCUGGGGAGUACGACCGCAAGGUUGAAACUCAAAGGAAUUGACGGGGGCCCGCA